AUUGAACGCUGGCGGCAGGCCUAACACAUGCAAGUCGAGCGGAUGAAGGGAGCUUGCUCCUGGAUUCAGCGGCGGACGGGUGAGUAAUGCCUAGGAAUCUGCCUGGUAGUGGGGGAUAACGUCCGGAAACGGGCGCUAAUACCGCAUACGUCCUGCGGGAGAAAGUGGGGGAUCUUCGGACCUCACGCUAUCAGAUGAGCCUAGGUCGGAUUAGCUAGUUGGUGGGGUAAAGGCCUACCAAGGCGACGAUCCGUAACUGGUCUGAGAGGAUGAUCAGUCACACUGGAACUGAGACACGGUCCAGACGCCUACGGGAGGCAGCAGUGGGGAAUAUUGGACAAUGGGCGGAAGACUGAUCCAGCCAGGCCGCGUGUGUGAAGAAGGUCUUCGGAUUGUAAAGCACGUUAAGUUGGGAGGAAGGGCAGUAAGUUAAUACCUUGCUGUUUUGACGUGACCAACAGAAUAAGCACCGGCUAACUUCGUG
rnacentral:rRNA from 1 species